GCGAUCACGCCCACCUGACGGAUGAAAGUUGACUUGCCGCCCAUGUUUGGUCCUACGGAGGAGGAGGAGUGAGGUGACACGCAGGUAAAAGCCCAGCAUGGCGUUUGACUCCAGCUUCACCGUCUUACCAGCGUCCAGACCUGAAACAAAAAGUUACAGCAAUGACUUCGAACAACGUCCAGUUCCCUGGCAGCGCAGUUCAGCACCGCCUGCAUGCUCUUCUCCAGCGUGUCCAUCUUCUCUCUCAGCUCACUCAAAACCGGAU